AUGGCAGUCAUUUGUCUUGGUUUUGUUCCUUGGAGCAAAGAACUGGAGCUGCUGUGUAUCAGAAAAAUCAUGAGCACAGAAGGAUGUGUAUAUCCCAGCUCAGUUUGGAAGUGCCAUCCGCUCAGACACGACAGUAGGUUUGGGAACAUUGUCAGCACUAAUUGCCUUGUAAAUCCAGGCGCUCAUUGCAAGAACUGCAGCUUUCCCAGUGACAAACAUACUGCCAGGAGAUUUGGAACAAUUAAGCAGUGAUUGUUCUCACAGAAUGGGAGAAACAAGCCUCUGGGUUGUAGUUUGGAUGCUGAAAGGACCAGGGCACUUUCCCACAAAGCAGUAUGGAAAGCUCUGGACCCGCCGUGGCUCCAGCUCCCAAAUGUGCUUUCUGCAGAGUGCGCUCCCAUUCCUGGGCGAGAGCGAGCCCGGGGGAAAAUCGCUGCUCUGACAGGACAGAACCAGCGCGGUCCAUGGGCUGUGUCAGGCCAGUCUGACAAAGUUGCUGCCGAUGCUUUUGUGCAGCUUCUGAACCUCCCGUUGCUGUCUCCCCGCAGAAAUGCUGCGUGUCUAAAGCGCAACAGGUCCCCAAUCAGGGAGAGCAGUAUCAGUUUCCAUGUGAUAACUUUGCUACUAUUAAGAAAUUCUUUUCAGGAGCCUCCUUUAUUUCGCGAUCCCCGAGAUGAAUAAAGAAGUUAUUCCCUAAUUUCUUGAGUGUGCAGUCAAGAAAUAGCCGUAUGCUGCGGUCCUGUGUGAGCGGGAAUUUUUGGAAUGCAGAGCCGGGCUGCUGUUCCUGGGUGUGCUGGUGAGAUCGGGGUCUUGGCAGCAGCGUGGAAACCAGCACCAGUGGUGAGGUAUUACCGAGGGAUGUCCGAGUGCUGGGGAAAAGCAAGUGGCAAUUUGCUCCUUGGUUCAGCUAAUGCAGACAAUGUUAAGGCGGUAUGAUGAGCGAACUGAUGGCUGUGUGUGUGUAAGACUGAAGGGUGGCACUGCGAUAGCGUCUUGUGAGAUGUUUGCUCAUCAAAGGAUGUAAUUGUGCUCAGAGACUGAAAGACAGCAGGUUUGGCUGGUUGUGUGCAGUACUUGAAGGACUGAGUGCAUUGUGUGUGUUAUCUACUCGAUGUGCUUUUCUCCAGCUCUGUCUCUGUCCUCACACUGCCUUUUGUUUCAGCCUUUGCUGUGUGACUCAUCUUUAGAAUACGCGUUUGCUACAAUUAUCUGCUGGGUUUCGCAAUGAAUCCCACUCCUUCCUUUUGCCGCUCUUUUCAGGCUUGCUAUAAAUUCACGAGGAUUUUUUUUUUUUCAUUUUUCUAACAGAAGGUACUGGUUACCAGCGUUAAAGAACCACGCCUAAACUAUGUGCUAAAUCAUUUAUUUUCUGAACAAAUUAAAGUCUGUAGGGAAAAGCACUGCUGUAAGCACCAGAAAAGGGAGAACACUGUGAGAGAUGUUAAUACCAAGCAAUAAUGAAGAAAAAUGCCACUGUUUUAAAUGCAGUGGUAAGUGACCCUUACAACUAUGAUAAAUUCCAAACCCAAAUCUGCUCACAUUUUCAAAGGUUUCAGAAGAAUACUGUGGAUUAAAAACUGUUAUUGAUUGCUUUACAUUUCUCUUUUGUACUUAAAAGCAGGAGUAGCUGUCACUCACACAGAACCACUGCUAUCUGAAAGAAUUAACUGCUUAGAUUAAAUUUAUUUAAAGUAUCUCUACAGCUUUUUAAAAUGCCUGUGUCUACGUGCAUAUGUUAAAUUGAGUAAACAGUUUCUCUUUCCCAGCUGAAUUUCAUUUGUUCUCAGUUUUGCCUUUAUCUCCUCUUAAAAACGAGGACACCCAGCACAGGAUGGUCACAACAUAGACAAAGGCGUUUAUAAACCCCAGACAUAAGGUGUCUGGGUGAAAAGGCAAUUUCAGUCCUGCAUUUGGAAGUUCUGGUUUUUUUUUUUCUUCUAAAUCAGUUUAAAGUAUUUCAUAUUAUUAAAAUGCAUUUUAGCUAAGACUGGCCUUAGGAGCUAUUUUUUCAGUGCUCUUGCUUCUGUAUACUCAGGGCAUUGCUUAUACAUUUUUCUCAUAUCUUGUGUGCUUGACAUAGGGUUCUAGAACAUGAACUGAAUUGUUACCAAAUGUGGGCCAAAAGCUACAUUUAGGGUGAUAAAGUGAGUUGUCUGAGAGCCAUCUGAGAGAGCUUUCUGGUAGCAUUGCCAUCUAUUUCAGUAAAACAUCCCAAUGACACAGAACAACAAAUGACUAAGAAAUUCCAGCAAUGUAAGAAAGAGGAAUGAAAAACAAGCAACUGUCUU
rnacentral:lncRNA from 12 species